rnacentral:rRNA from 1 species
GACGGAGGAUGCAAGCGUUAUCCGGAAUUAUUGGGCGUAAAGCGUCCGCAGGUGGUUAAUCAAGUCUGCUGUCAAAAUGCGAGGCUCAACUUCGUAAAGGCAGUGGAAACUGAUGAACUAGAGCAUGGUAGGGGUAGAGGGAAUUCCCGGUGUAGCGGUGAAAUGACGCAGAUAUCAGGAGGAACACCGGUGGCGAAGGCGGGUCUCUGGGCCGAUACUGACGCUGAGGAGCGAAAGCGUGGGGAGCAAACAGG